AGAGGAGGCGAUGGCGGUUGCGGAUGCUCAGGAGUUGCGGCUUGCAGCUUUGAAGGCAUCUGAGGAAAGUCCGGGCUCCCGAAAGACCAGACCUGCUUGGUAACGCCAAGUGCGCGUGAGCGUGAGGAUAGUGCCACAGAAACAUACCGCCCAGGCGAUGUUGGACUGGCGAUUGGCGAUUUUGGACGCAAUCCAAAAUCCAAAAUCCAAAAUCCAAAACCUGGGUAAGGGUGCAAAGGUGCGGUAAGAGCGCACCAGCAGCGUCGAGAGGCGCUGGCUCGGUAAACCCCGGUCGGGAGCAAGGUCGAAGGAGCAACGGUUGGUCUUUUACCGGCUCCGAGGUAUGGCGUUUGCUGUAUCUGCCAAUCCGCUAGAGGUGUCUGGUGACAGGCAUCCCAGAUAGAUAACUGCCCUCCGCUGGCGUGCCAGUGCGAGAACAGAACCCGGCUUAUGUCCGCCUCUUCCCCCC
rnacentral:RNase_P_RNA from 1 species